rnacentral:rRNA from 1 species
GUCGAGAAUAAUUCACAAUGGACGAAAGUCUGAUGGUGCAACGCCGCGUGGAGGAUGAAGGUCUUCGGAUUGUAAACUCCUGUCAUCGGGGAGUAAGACCUGGCGGUAAAUAGCCGACAGGGUUGAUAGUACCCGAAGAGGAAGGGACGGCUAACUUCGUGCCAGCAGCCGCGGUAAUACGAAGGUCCCAAGCGUUGUUCGGAAUCACUGGGCGUAAAGGGAGCGUAGGCGGCGUGGUAAGUCAGAUGUGAAAUCCCGGGGCUCAACCCCGGAACUGCAUCCGAUACUGCCAUGCUUGAGGGUUGGAGAGGUAGCUGGAAUUCUCGGUGUAGCAGUGAAAUGCGUGGAUAUCGAGAGGAACACUCGUGGCGAAGGCGAGCUACUGGACAACAUCUGACGCUGAGGCUCGAAGGCCAGGGGAGCAAAAGGGAUUAGAAACCCGAGUAGGCC